rnacentral:rRNA from 1 species
AAGACGGUCCUACGGAUUGUAAACCUCUUUUGCCCGAGGAGCAACGGAGUCCUUGCGAGGGCCCCGAUGAGAGUACCCGGAGAAAAAGCAUCGGCUAACUCCGUGCCAGCAGCCGCGGUAAUACGGAGGAUGCGAGCGUUAUCCGGAUUUAUUGGGUUUAAAGGGUGCGUAGGCGGGCUGUUAAGUCAGCGGUCAAAUGUCGGGGCUCAACCCCGGCCUGCCGUUGAAACUGGCGGCCUCGAGUGGGCGAGAAGUAUGCGGAAUGCGUGGUGUAGCGGUGAAAUGCAUAGAUAUCACGCAGAACUCCGAUUGCGAAGGCAGCAUACCGGCGCCCGACUGACGCUGAGGCACGAAAGCGUGGGUAUCGAACAGGAUUAGAUACCCUGGUAGUCCACGCAGUAAACGAUGAAUGCUAGCUGUCCGGUUCUACGGGACUGGGUGGCACAGCGAAAGCGUUAAGCAUUCCACCUGGGGAGUACGCCGGCAACGGUGAAACUCAAAGGAAUUGACGGGGGCCCGCACAAGCGGAGGAACAUGUGGUUUAAUUCGAUGAUACGCGAGGAACCUUACCCGGGCUCAAACGCCAAAGGACAGCCGUUGAAAGGCGGCCUCCCUCCGGGGUCUUUGGCGAGGUGCUGCAUGGUUGUCGUCAGCUCGUGCCGUGAGGUGUCGGCUUAAGUGCCAUAACGAGCGCAACCCCCAUCGACAGUUGCUAACGGGUAGAGCCGAGGACUCUGUCGAGACUGCCGGCGCAAGCUGCGAGAAUCCACCACAGUGCGAGAUCUC